UUGAACGCUGGCGGCAUGGCUAAAACAUGCAAGUCGAGCGCGAAAGUGGAGCAAUCCAUGAGUAGAGCGGCGAAAGGGUGAGUAAUAGGUUUCUACGUGCCUCAAGGUCGAGGAUAGCCAGGGGAAACUCUGGGUAAUACUCGAUGUGAUCGAGAGAUCAAAGGCUUGCCGCCUUGAGAGCGGGGAACCUCCUAUCAGCUAGUUGGUGAGGUAACGGCUCACCAAGGCUUUGACGGGUAGCGGGUGUGAGAGCAUGGCCCGCCACAUCGAAACUGAGACACUGUUCGGACUCCUACGGGAGGCUGCAGUAACGAAUCUUCCGCAAUGCGCGAAAGCGUGACGGAGCAAUGCCGCGUGCAGGAUGAAGCCCCUCGGGGUGUAAACUGCUGUCAGGGAUUAGGAAGCAACUGACCAAUCCCAAAGGAAGAGACGACUAACUCUGUGCCAGCCGCCGCGGUAAUU
rnacentral:rRNA from 1 species